GUCAAGGUUGUAGAGAAACAUCAGGAAUAAUUCUUGGCUUCAAGAAUCUCAGUUUUUAAUUGCAACAAGACUAGUGAGUAAAAUUAAAGUUAAGUGAUCAGUUUGUACAGAAUAUAAAGAACUACCAAAUUUUCUUGGAGAUCAAGGACAGAGAAGUUCAUCUGAUCAGUUUGAGCAAUGUUUACUGUGAGUACAAGAUUGAUGGGGCAUCCCUGAUGGAGUGAAAGAUACCAAACACCAGGCCUGGAUGGCCAGGGAAUAGGCUGCCCACAAGAGGAGGAAGGCACAGGAGGAAGGCCUCUGGUCUGUGUGGGAACAGGAAGAAGAGCAAUCAGGUUGGAAAGGAAGUUUCAGAGAUGAAGAUUUGGAGAGGACCUGGGAGAUCUGGAAUUAAUCUCAGAUCAUCCAUUUGAAAUGCUAUCUGGAGCAAGCUUCUCUUUUUGAGGGCUCAGAUUCCUUUGUGAAAAAUGGCACCUGUUACUUAGAGGCUUCUGAUGGAUUGAGCGUCUUAUAGGAGCCGAUUAAGGCAAGUGGUGAAGGACUCAAAGGUAAGAGGGUGAGCUUGGUGGCCUAAUGGGAGUGACCAGAGACCUCUCAUCCUUUUCACCCUGUGAGGAGACAGCAAGAAGGCACUGUCCACAAGCCAGAAGGUUUCUGGUAAAGUGGGAAGAUAUUACACAUUUUUGAAUAAUAAAGCCUACUGAAAGUGAGUCUGAUGCUGAGUCAAGGAAGGGGAGAUUGUGCACCAGAGGCUUAAUUUCUUCUAUUAGCCUGGCUGCUGGCAAUAACUUCCUGAAGGACACCUUCCGGACAAACUUCCUCUAAUGUUUAUGUUGCCUCCACCAGCCAGUCUUCUAAGUAAGCCAGAUUCUCCUCUGUGUUGUGCCUCUGCCAUGCCAUCUUAACUUGGAGCCAGAUGACUAUGGACUGAAACUUCUACAAACUGUUACAAAAAGCUCAAAGGUGAAAACUGUGAGCCACGUCAUUCGCAGAAGCCCCAGAAAUCCCCAUCACAGUCUUAAUAGCCCUGCUGGCACGUUGGCCCCCAUGGUAGAACAUAUGCUUUAAAGUUAACCUGUUUUGAAACAUAAACAGAUUUUUCGCUUCACACAUACUGCAACUGGACAAAAAGGCUAUUUUCGAUCACAAGCUCCUAGGACAGAGAAGCUGAGCCAGUUCCAGCACCCAGAAGGAAGCUCCCCCACUGCCAUACCAAGCUCCUAGGGCAGACAAGGCGAGCUGCGUGGGUAUCAGAAGCACCCCCACACCCCCGUGGAAAUGAGAAGACACAUAAACAAGCCUCAAAAACAGACUUCCAGAUCACCUACAGCAACCCCAAAGGGAAAUGAGAUGGAACACUCUGAUACUCAACCACCUGGACUCUCUGAACUGGCAACAAAAGAGGAUCUGGGAAAAAUGAAAUCAGAAAUAAUUACUCAGGUAACAGCAAAGAUUUUGCUCAUGGUGCAAGGGAUGAUUAAUAAAUCUAGAGAGGACACAGAUAAAAAAAUAGAGGAUCUGAGGAACAUGAUGGAAUCCCAACAUAGGAAACAAAUGGAAUCCAUAAAACAGAUACAAACAGAUUUCCAAGAGAUUGAAAACUCCAUCGAAAGUCUGUGCAGCAGAAUGAACCAAUGUGAGGAUAGAAUUUCACAUAUAGAAGAUAAGAUUGCAAUUAGUUAGGAGGAAAAGAAAAAUUGCUUUAAAAUUAUAAGGGAACAUGAGAAAUCAAUCCAGCAGCUGCUAGACGAUACAAAGAGGAAUAAUAUAAGACUGAUUGGAGUCAAUGAAGAAAGAGGAGAGAGUGCAGAUGACAUAAAAAAAACUGUUCACAGAAGUGAUGGCAGAAAACUUCCCAACCAGGAGAAAAGAACUUGACAUACAGAUAAGUGAGGCAUAUAGGACUCCAAAUAGCCUUGAUCAAAAAAAAAUCUACACAUAGGCAUAUAAUAGUUAGGAUUCCAGAAAUCCAACAGAAGAACAAAAUUCUACAAGCAGUGAGAGAAAAGAAACAAAUCACAUACAAAGGAAAGCCCAUCAGAAUCACAGCAGACUUCUCAAUGCAAACCCUCAAGGCAAGAAGAGCUUGGAGUGAUGUAUUUGAAGCCCUAAAGGAAAACAGCCUCCAACCCAGAUUGAUGUACCCUGCAAAACUAUCUUCCAAAAUUGAUGAAGAAAUAAGAUACUUUCAUGAUAAAGAGCACCUCAGGAACUUCAUGAAUACCAACCUGGCACCCCAAAAAAUUUUAGACAAUACCUUAGGAAAAGACAAUGAGGAUCACAACCCCAGGAAACCCAGCAGAAUGAAUCUAUUGGGC
rnacentral:lncRNA from 1 species